rnacentral:rRNA from 1 species
AGUGAACGCUGGCGGUAGGCCUAACACAUGCAAGUCGAACGGCAGCACAGUAAGAGCUUGCUCUUACGGGUGGCGAGUGGCGGACGGGUGAGGAAUACAUCGGAAUCUACUUUUUCGUGGGGGAUAACGUAGGGAAACUUACGCUAAUACCGCAUACGACCUACGGGUGAAAGCAGGGGAUCUUCGGACCUUGCGCGAUUGAAUGAGCCGAUGUCGGAUUAGCUAGUUGGCGGGGUAACGGCCCACCACGGCGACGAUCCGUAGCUGGUCUGAGAGGAUGAUCAGCCACACUGGAACUGAGACACGGUCCAGACUCCUACGGGAGGCAGCAGUGGGGAAUAUUGGAAAAUGGGCGCAAGCCUGAUCCAGCCAUACCGCGUGGGUGAAGAAGGCCUUCGGGUUGUAAAGCCCUUUUGUUGGGAAAGAAAAGCAGCAGGUUAAUACCCCGCUGUUCUGACGGUACCCAAAGAAUAAGCACCGGCUAACUUCGUG